GAUGAACGCUGGCGGCGUGCCUAAUACAUGCAAGUCGAGCGAACGGACGAGAAGCUUGCUUUUCUGAUGUUAUCGGCGGACGGGUGAGUAACACGUGGAUAACCUACCUAUAAGACUGGGAUAACUUCGGGAAACCGGAGCUAAUACCGGAUAAUAUUUUGAACCGCAUGGUUCAUAAGUGAAAGACGGUCUUGCUGUCACUUAUAGAUGGAUCCGCGCUGCAUUAGCUAGUUGGUAAGGUAACGGCUUACCAAGGCAACGAUGCAUAGCCGACCUGAGAGGGUGAUCGGCCAGACUGGAACUGAGACACGGUCCAGACUCCUACGGGAGGCAGCAGUAGGGAAUCUUCCGCAAUGGGGGAAAGCCUGACGGAGCAACGCCGCGUGAGUGAUGAAGGUCUUCGGAUCGUAAAACUCUGUUAUUAGGGAAGAACAUAUGUGUAAGUAACUGUGCACAUCUUGACGGUACCUAAUCAGAAAGCCACGGCUAACUACGUG
rnacentral:rRNA from 1 species